rnacentral:rRNA from 1 species
UGCAAGUCGAGCGGAACGAGAAUAGCUUGCUAUUCGGCGUCGAGCGGCGGACGGGUGAGUAAUGCUUGGGAAUAUGCCUUAUGGUGGGGGACAACAGUUGGAAACGACUGCUAAUACCGCAUAACGUCUACGGACCAAAGGGGGGGAUCUUCGGACCUCUCGCCAUUUGAUUAGCCCAAGUGAGAUUAGCUAGUUGGUAAGGUAAUGGCUUACCAAGGCGACGAUCUCUAGCUGGUUUGAGAGGAUGAUCAGCCACACUGGGACUGAGACACGGCCCAGACUCCUACGGGAGGCAGCAGUGGGGAAUAUUGCACAAUGGGCGAAAGCCUGAUGCAGCCAUGCCGCGUGUGUGAAGAAGGCCUUCGGGUUGUAAAGCACUUUCAGCGAGGAGGAAAGGUUAGUAGUUAAUAACUGCUAGCUGUGACGUUACUCGCAGAAGAAGCACCGGCUAACUUCGUGCCAGCAGCCGCGGUAAUACGAGGGGUGCAAGCGUUAAUCGGAAUUACUGGGCGUAAAGCGUGCGUAGGUGGUUUGUUAAGCAAGAUGUGAAAGCCCUGGGCUCAACCUGGGAACUGCAUUUUGAACUGGCAAGCUAGAGUUUUGUAGAGGGUAGUGGAAUUUCCAGUGUAGCGGUGAAAUGCGUAGAGAUUGGAAGGAACAUCAGUGGCGAAGGCGGCUACCUGGACAAAGACUGACACUGAGGCACGAAAGCGUGGGGAG